rnacentral:lncRNA from 1 species
AUGUGUGUGUAUGUGUAUGUAUUAAGCCCUAGUUGUGUGUGUGUAUCAACCUCUAGUUGUAUAUGUAUGUAUGUAUUAACCCCUAGUUGUUUGUGUGUGUGUGUGUAUUAACCCCUAGUUGGUACUUGGGCCUAAACUUCAGAUCAUCUGGAAGUGCUAGCUUUCAGCACUAUAAUAGAAUACUUGAGAUAAUCAUUCUAUGAAGAGAGAAGAUUUGUUUUCUCUUAGUGUUUUGGAGGCUCCCGUCUAUGACUUGUUGUUUGGUCCAUUGAUGAAGUAGCAUAUAAUCCCAUAUAAUUAUGGGAAUGCUGUUGGCACAUCCUGAGCCAGGAAGCAAAGAUGUAGAAAGGAACCAAAGUUCACAGUCCCCCUUAUAGUUGAACUCCCAGGGACUUAAGAAACCCUUAGAGAGGAAUUUUAAACUCCUUUAAAUGGGCUGUUGGGGGCACUCAAUAUCCAAACUACAGCACUGACUCAAUUCAGUGUGGAUUGUUAAUAACAAUCCCUCUGCAGCAGAUGGGGGCAAAUAGAGAGAUCCACAGUCAGACAUUACACAGAGAUACUAGAACUUGGAACACUCAGCCCUAAGUGGGAUGUCACCAUCAAAUCUUUCUCGUCAGGGAAAAGAGUUCAGGGGUCCCCAUGGGGAGAAGUGUAAGAGCCACAGGGAAUGGAGGACACCAAGAAAACAAGGCUCUCUAAAUCAAUAUGAUGGAUGCUUGUAUGACCUUCCAGAGACUGAUGCAGCAUGCACAGGGUCUACAUGGGCCUGCACCAGGCCCUCUACAUUUAUAGAGUGACUUCCAGUGUAGUGUUUUAAUGGUAAUCCUGAGUGUGGGAACCAGUGGGUUUCUGAUUCUUGUGCUUUCUCUUGGGUCCUUUCCUUCCGUUGAUUGGUCUUAUGUGACUUUGGCUUAAUAGUAGUUGUUUUAUCUUAUUGUAUAUAUAUUUUUUUAUGACUGAAUGGAAACCUAGCCAUAAGGGUAAAGGUUAACAACUGACCUGUCAUUUAUAUCUGCUGGGAGAGGGAAAGUUAGUUUUUGCCAAUGGAACGAGGACACUGGGUAUAUUAAUGACUCCAAGACAGGCCUUAUGUUCAGGAGUAGUUGAUCAACAUAAUGGAAUCCACA